CCCCCAACCUCUUAACCUGCUCUCUCACACUGCAGAGCUGGGAGCCUUUUGUUAACUAUUUCCUGCUUCGGUUUCCAUGGAAAACAGAAAGUCACAUGCACCAUCUCCCAAGAGAUGACAGAAAUGCCUCUGGCCUAACAAUCCCUCUACCUUUAACAAAUGAGGCCAAAGACAAAAACCAUCAAGAUGCAAACCAGGGAUUUCAAGUCCAUCUGCUCGUGUGCCACAAACCCUCAAUAUUUUAGAAUAAUCAAGUGCUAAAAAAUUCCCGAGCUGUUUAGGUAAGUCCACACUGAAGUAUUCUUCCCCUUAAAAAGGGAAAAAAAAGAGGCAUUAAGCUUGUAUAUUGCUAAAGUGCUGGGGGAAGUGUAAUAUGUUGUGAUUUAAAGCAUUUGAUCUUGCUUUUCCCUGGUGACACACUUCUAAUUCUCAUUAUUUCUAAGCUUUGGGCCAAGGUCCCAUCUGUUACACCAGUACUUGUCUUUCCUAAAGUUUCAGCUCAUUGCCCCAGGGCUUCUGCUGGCUCCCGGGUAACAUGAUCCACCAGCAGGACACCUGGCAGCAUCCAAAGCCCUCCAAGUGAGAGGCUCAGUGCCCAAAGCUGGGCUGAGGUGUCCAGAAGAGGAGUGCCUGAUUUCAGCUCUUUGCAUUGCUGUUUGAAGCCUGAUUUCAGCAUUGAGUCUCAGUUUCCAUGAGAUCUGCACUCACACCAGGCCUCCUCACUCUGUCGAAAGCUAAAACCAGCUCUGUUUCAGUGGCUUCAGCUGGGCAGCAUUUGCCCCAUGACAUCUGAACAACGGGGGCCAGCUGAGGUUCAAGGUCAGGAGUGAGGAAGGAUGUGAGAACAGAUUCUGUCUUGCACUCCAGCUACAGCCACAUCAGAUGGGUCAUAAAUCAUGGAAUAAUACAGGCAGGAACUGGGACUUGUCUGGUAAAUCACUUUCUUCUGGUGAUAUGCUGAUCUCUGCGGGAUGGGGAUGGAUGGGAUCCCUGGACUGGAGGCAGUGCUGUGCUAUGACAGUUAUACACGAGGGAUGUUCAUAGCAAACCCACGCUGCGAUUUAUUGUUUAGUCAGAAAAUUUCCCCUUGAUUUAUAAAUAUUUCACUCGAGAAGAACAUCCACGCUAAUUCCAAGCACACAGACAAGCUUCCCAGUGCCCAGGGAUGAUCAAAGAGCAGCGGCUGGAUGGAUGCUGGGGCUCCAGGGGGACUCCAGAGCUGCAGCUCCUCCACAGUGAAGGCCAUUAAAACAAAGGGGAGUGGAGCUCACGCCUUUCCACGGGAUCAUCGCUAGGAGUUAAUCUGCCCUGUGCUCCCCAUUCCAGCUGGGGGGAGGUGACAAACGCUGCCCGUGGCUGCUCCGUCCUGAAUCCGGAGAGCUGCAGUCCUCCCAGCGCUGAAGAACAAGUUACAGGCUCACCUGUCCUGCCCAGCUCCGUCCUGUCUCAUAAGGUCAGGAAGCUCAGACUGCUGCGUUAAUAAAACAACCCCACUGCCAUCACUCACUGCCGCCUUUAUCUGUUCCAGACACCUCUUGCUGCCAACAGCCCCGUUCUAUUUUUACGGAGCAAAUGCUUUCACGGCUCCGCUUCCCAGUGCUGCCCACUUGAUGUGUUGUUCACACCUCGUUUACUCUUCACACCCCUCAAGGACCUGGCGAUCGGAAAGGAUCCCUCCCCUGGAACGGGAGGACAAAUGGCAACCAGAGAUGCUGUCAGCACUUGUGGCUCUGGGGGGACAGGAGGAAAGGGCCAGGGGGGGCAUCUUUACUCCUUCAGCUGCUGUCCUGAUUAUCCUUCUCUCCUUGUAACCAUUCCUAGCGGAAGCCGUCAUGAGGAGCAUCCCUCAGCCAGGGCCUGAAUUACUGCAUCCCAGCUGGAACUUUCCUGAAAUUCUCCAUGUGGGAGCACAACCUUCCACAAGGGGUCCAACAUAUCCACAGAGGAAGUUUAAGACUCACAGUCCCAGAUGAGUAAUUUAAUUACUGAACAAACUUUCCAGAUGUGCUAAAGAUUCCCUGUGCAAUCACUGGGAUCACGGGGGCCAAGCUGGGUCAGCUCAUCCCAGGGUCUUGAGGUUGCCACGAGGAAACACAUCCCUGUCCUUCAGCAUUUGCUAAGGUUUCAGCAAGGUGUGCUCCAAGUGUGGCUACUAAAGCAAGUGCAGUCUUGGAAAUAUUCCCAAACCAUCCAUCUCAGUGACAAUUAGCUAAGAAAUAUUAAUCCCUGGUAUCAGUUCAGAGUUUUUCCAGUAACUUUCUACUUAAUCUUUGGAACGUGCACUGUUCAAAGAGAGAGGACCACAAAUUUAGUUGGGAUGGGAACAAAUGCAUAAGCCAAAUAUAAUUUGACUUUAAGGAAUGAUCCCAGUAUUUAAAACCUAUCAGUUUUGCCCUCCACCUCAGUUAUUAAUAGCAUAGGUGCAAAAGCAAUCAGCCACUUCUCUUGGGAUGACCCAAAGCUGCUGGGGUUGUGUGGGGCUCUGGAAGGGUAUUUGGGCACCUGCAGGUCAGAACAUUGUGUGCAGAUGCCCUGCUGAAUGCAGCCUGGCUGUGAGUUCCCACUCUAAUAAUAAACACUUCCUAAAAAUAAACCUGUGCUCUCCUGGCUUUCUUUUUUCCUUUGUUUUCUUUCUUUCUUUGUUUUCUUUCUCUCUUUCCUUGUUCCCACCUGUCCAGCAAUCUUCCCAUCUGCACUUUGUACAGAUCAAAUAUUCCAAAAAUCCUCUCUCCAGACUCCUAGCACACAAGGAAAACUACUGCACUUUUA